CCUACGGGCGGCUGCAGUGGGGAAUAUUGGACAAUGGGGGGAACCCUGAUCCAGCCAUGCCGCGUGUGUGAAGAAGGCCCUCGGGUUGUAAAGCACUUUCAGUGAGGAAGAACGCCUGGUGGUUAAUACCCAUCAGGAAAGACAUCACUCACAGAAGAAGCACCGGCUAACUCCGUGCCAGCAGCCGCGGUAAUACGGAGGGUGCGAGCGUUAAUCGGAAUUACUGGGCGUAAAGCGCGCGUAGGUGGCUUGAUAAGCCGGUUGUGAAAGCCCCGGGCUCAACCUGGGAACGGCAUCCGGAACUGUCAGGCUAGAGUGCAGGAGAGGAAGGUAGAACUCCCGGUGUAGCGGUGAAAUGCGUAGAGAUCGGGAGGAAUACCAGUGGCGAAGGCGGCCUUCUGGACUGACACUGACACUGAGGUGCGAAAGCGUGGGUAGCAAACAGGAUUAGAUACCCUAGUAGUC
rnacentral:rRNA from 1 species